CUGCAGGCAAUUAAGCCAGAUGAUCUCCUUUCCACGUGGGGGCCCAUGUGCAGUGGCUGCAAACGACAGCCUCCUUGGUAGUAUAUGCAGCCUGUUGCUUCUCUGCAUUGCCCUAAGGGACCUUGGAGACAGCC